rnacentral:misc_RNA from 1 species
GCAAACUUUAAUGAUGGAAGCAGUAGCGCGUCAACACCAAAUUCUACGAGUGAAACUCCAUCAAAUGUUCGUAAGAGGAAGUACUUUCCGAUGAGAUUCUCAUAUUUAUUUUAGAAUUUCAUCCCUUUAAUUGUGGUGUCCUCUUAAUCGGUAUUAAAGACAUUUUUAUUACUGUAUAAUAAGUACAAAUCUAGUCAAACAGGGCUAUAAAUAUAAUACACCAUUCCA